rnacentral:lncRNA from 1 species
AGACAAGCCACACAUUCAUUACAGCAACCCAACAACAUGUGUACAAUGUUUAGAACAAAAAUUAAGAAUACUUUACUGAGAAGUUGUCUUCAACUUACAACAUGUUUACAAUGUUUAAAAGUAAACAACACAUGAAAUAUAUGUUACCAUGACCUUAUGAAAUAAACAACACAUUCAUUACAGCAAUCAAGACAAACCACACAAUACCCAGGUCCAGAUACUGCAUAUUUGAAAUAUAUGCUCAGUGCACAUCAAGUCAUCACACCAACACAAUACUAAGAACAAACCAAAAUUAAGAAUCUUCUCAAAUCAUCAGAACUUGUGGGGUGGGAGCAGCGUUCAGGACACGCUCCAUCAAAAUUAAGUUGGCUAGUAACCCCAGCUUGACAUUGGACCAACAUUCAUCAAAGGGAUCCCGAAUGUGAGAUACUACAUCUGCAAAUAGACAACAAAAUUUGUAAAUUAUAAUAUAAAUAACUUGGGCAGAUUGAUAAUAACAUAAAAACUGCAACAAGUACCUAGUCAGGCUGCAAACCAUAGAAUGGGUUCAACCCACAUCAAUUUUCAAAAUCUUAAAAGGUUUAUAUACAAAUGGAUCAAGAAAAUCUAUGUUAACGAAGUCCAUAAAUCCUAUUAUACAUAAUUUUUGCACCACAAUCCUACUAUACAUCAUCAAUGACCGAGGCAUCUUUCAAUUGGUGAGGAGUGAGGACAUACACAUGAGUUUAUUUUAAUGAAUCUGUUCACAUUCAUUCUCAUUCUCAUUCUCAUAUUAAACUGAUUUUUGGAUCUGAUUCUCUAUGAAGAAACAAGAUUUUCUAGCAAAUAAAAGGUUAAACUAAAGCAUGCUACAUAGUAUAAUCUAAUUAUGUACAGUUGAAAUCUUAAGCUAAUUCCUAGUUUCCUCCAAUCUAAUAAUCUCAUGGACUUCUAACUCUGAUCGUAAUUCUCAAAAUUAUACCAAGGAACUUAUUUGACUAAAGUACUAUACUCAGUUUUAAACUUUUCAUCCAUACUCCUUCCCAUGUAUAAUGACUAUUGACUACUUACUCCGAAUCUCAGAAAAAACAAGGUUUAUCCUCAAUUUAUGUUCUCGUGUAUUAAUAUUAUAUGCAAAGUUAAAUUACAGAUACUUCAAUAAUAACCCUAUGAUGAGAAAUGAAGUCAAAAUUCAUACACUUUCUGACAAAGGAACUCACAGUGGCACAAUGGUAUUUAAAUCAGAAGAACAGAGGAACAAUUGCCAAAUCAAGUAUAUAAAUUUCAAGCCCUUACCAAAAUAAGAACUCGGAGAAGUUUAGACGACUCUGGCUAAUCGAUUUUCAGUAAUCGAUGUUCUGAAUCUGGGGCUUGUGAGAGCACUCUGCGCUUCGAUUUUCUGGAGGGGAUCAAGGGUUACGAACUGAGGGCUUUGACUUCAAUUUUUGUGGCAUGCUUUGAUUUGCAGAAGAUUUGGAGAAGAUUUGGGGAUCAAGGAUAGUGUAGCGAGGAGAGAGCCUAGACCUGGCAAACGGGGAGCCGGCCCGGGCCGAGAGCGGGACGGGCCUAUGACGGGCCGGGUUAAAAAGGUUCGGGUUUUGGUGAACUGUAAUUUUUA